rnacentral:rRNA from 1 species
UACAGAGGUCUCAAGCGUUGUUCGGAUUCAUUGGGCGUUAAAGGGUGCGUAGGCGGCGCGGUAAGUCGGGUGUGAAAUCUCGGAGCUUAACUCCGAAACUGCAUUCGAUACUGCCGUGCUUGAGGACUGGAGAGGAGACUGGAAUUUACGGUGUAGCGGUGAAAUGCGUAGAUAUCGUAAGGAAGACCAGUGGCGAAGGCGGGUCUCUGGACAGUUCCUGACGCUGAGGCACGAAGGUCAGGGGAGCAAACGGG